rnacentral:lncRNA from 1 species
UUUCAGAACGAACUCUCUCAUAUCACAGUUAACAUCAUUUAAAUUCUAAUUCCGCCACUUACGUCUCCUAUUUUCCUCCACCGCCAUCCAUGCCAUGUAUAUAAGCAGUGGCGAUGAUCGCAGCACCAACUCUCGUGUCAUUGCUACCAGGGGCAUAUACAAAAAAUUUCGUAAGUGAUAUCGUAUUUACAUAAAAAAAAAAUAUAAGUAGUACUAUUUAAUACUCUCUCCGUUUCAAUUUAUGUGAACUCAUUUAACUGGGUACGAAGUUUAAGAAAAGAUAGAAGACUUUUGAACUUGUGGUGUAAAAUGAGGUAUAUAAAUUUUGUGUGGCUAUAAAUCAUUGUAUAAAGGUAUAUUGUUUCCAAAUAAGGAAAGAGGUCAUUUUUUGGCACGGACCAAAAAAAAAAUAGGUUCACAUAAAUUAAAACAGAGGGAGUAGCAUUUUUUCCACAAGCUGAAGAGCCUUGGUGCAAUGGUUUAGUUGAAGAUUAUUGCUAAGGGAGGUGUAGGUUUAAUUCUCCUCAGCCUCAAUAUUUUUAAGCAAAAAUGUUCAAUCAAAGAUGUUUUCUAUUUUAUAUUUAUAUUUAUUAUUAUUAUUAUAUUGAAAAGCGAAGAUGGUCCACCAUCUGAGGGCAUUUUUGACUUUUCAUAGCUUAUAAUAGACGUGGCCACUCAUCGAACUCUCAAAUUCUUUAUUUUUCUUCUUCAUCUAGAACUAGAACUAGAAUUUUCCCUCACUUCAGUUCCCCAUCUCUAGCAUCUUCGUUGUCUUCUUUGUUGGGUCUCACAAUGUUCAUGUUAGUAUUUACUCUCUUUUUAAUUUGUUUUUCAUUUUUUGUUGCUUGUUGCUUGUUGCAGUGGAGUUUUGCUUCUUUUUCCCCCUUUAUUUGUUAUGCGUAUUUUAUAUUUCUUUUAGUUUUCUCUUCUUUUGUUUUCCUUCAUCAUUACCUAGUUGGUGUUGUUGCUUUCUUUCCAUUGUCGCUUUUCUUAACUUUUUUGUAUUAGGAAAAAUUGCAUUUAUAUAUGCAAGUGACAUAUUGAGACAUGUGGACUGAUCAAAUAGUCAAAGAAUUAUAAUUAGUCAAGCGGCACGGGUAGCAGUAGAAACGAGCAAAGGCAAAUAAAGAGGCGGGGGAGGACAUUUGAAGGAUUCAGCGCCCGUACCUAUUUAAAUCAUUUAUCAAAAGGAAUGGAUCUGACCAUAAUAAAGAGCGCAGAUACGGAAUUCGACAGGCAUUAAAUACUGGAUACGUUAGAGAAUUUGUAUUGAUUACAACGAUUGUGUAACGUAGCAUUGAAUGUCUUUAAUUAUUCAUAAUAGCCUCGUUAUGAUUUGGAAGAAAGGCAUAUCUUCAAGAUACCUAUAAAAGGGAGGAAUCUGGUCACUUGUAAAAGCAAGAAACAAUCGGAAUAUACUUUGAUUCACUUGUUUUUCUCCUGAUUA